GUCGGGCACGGUGGCGCAUGCCUGUAGUCCCAGCUACUCGGGAGGCUGAGGCAGGAGAAUCACUUGAACCCGGGAGAUGGAGGUUGCAGUGAGCUGAGAUGGUGCCACUGCAUUCCAGCCUGGGUGACAGAGUGAAACUCUGUCUCAA
ensembl:misc_RNA Metazoa_SRP Metazoan signal recognition particle RNA